UGACAGUGACAAAAAGGAAGCAGCCUUCUCUAGCCCACCCAAGUUUCCAUCAAAGGAGCAAGCCUAUGUCAGUAAGAAGAAAGCUGGCUAACCCUCCCACCCCUUGUUUAACUCCUCCAGCCCAUCCCACAUCAUUGUAGAGUGAAGAGACUGCGGUUAAUAUUCAGAAAGAGGCGCAGAGAACUGAAGGCUUUCCUGACUUGACACCGAAUAAUAACGAAGGCCUGUGUGCUUUGCAGCAGCCUCCACGUCACCCUCUUCCAGGGCUCCGUCAGAGGACUAACGAUGUGCCACAAGAUGAUUGGCAGCAAGACACACCCAGUGAUGAAGGGAUGUGCUCUCCUUAAAUCACAGCCUAUUCAUCAGGUACUCCUGAGUGCUGUGUUAAGAAAUCCUGCCUACAAAGUUCCACUGAGGCUGAUAUAAAGAUGACUGUGAGAAACUGGCUGCGGCUGUCUGAGCAGAGACAGGAAUGGGGGCGGCAAAGGCGGGACAAGCAAGCAUCUUAAGUGAAAUAAUUGAUUGGACUGAUUCUGGAGUAUGACUUAUUCUGGAGGGAAUUUCUUAUUUUUGUUGCAGUUUGCUAUGGGACGGUUUCAAGGACAGGGAUUAGACUAGUUCUAGACUAAAAUAAAUGUAAGAGCUGUCCAAACUCAAAACAACUUGCACUGACAUAUCAUAAAAU